GCGUGAGAAUCUGCCUUCAGGUCUGGGACAACAGAAGGAAACUUCUGCUAAUCCCGGGAUGAGCCUAAUGGUAAAAGAUAAAUUGCCUGGAGAUGAGCUCGCGUCUGAUUAGCUAGUUGGUGUGGUAAAAGCAUACCAAGGCAACGAUCAGUAGCUGGUCUGAGAGGAUGAGCAGCCACACUGGGACUGAGACACGGCCCAGACUCCUACGGGAGGCAGCAGUGGGGAAUUUUCCGCAAUGGGCGAAAGCCUGACGGAGCAAGACCGCGUGGGGGAGGAAGGCUUUAGGGUUGUAAACCCCUUUUCUUUGGGAAGAAGUUCUGACGGUACCAAAGGAAUCAGCCUCGGCUAACUCCGUGCCAGCAGCCGCGGUAAUACGGAGGAGGCAAGCGUUAUCCGGAAUGAUUGGGCGUAAAGCGUCCGCAGGUGGCCAUGUAAGUCUGCUGUCAAAACCCAGGGCUCAACUCUGGUCAGGCAGUGGAAACUACAAAGCUAGAGUCUGGUAGGGGCAAAGGGAAUUCCCGGCGUAGCGGUGAAAUGCGUAGAUUUCGGGAAGAACAUCGGUGGCGAAAGCGCUUUGCUAGACCAGAACUGACACUCAGGGACGAAAGCUAGGGGAGCGAAAGGGAU
rnacentral:rRNA from 1 species